CGAUGGGGUCAUGGCGCCCCGAACCCUCCUCCUGCUGCUCUCGGGGACCCUGGCCCUGGCCGAGACCUGGGCGGACCCCCCCAAGACACACGUGACCCACCACCCUGUCUCUGAACAUGAGGCAUAACGAGGUGCUGGGUUCUGGGCUUCUACCCUGCGGAGAUCACAUUGACCUGGCAGCGGGAUGGGGAGGACCAGACCCAGGACAUGGAGCUCGUGGAGACCAGGCCCACAGGGGAUGGAACCUUCCAGAAGUGGGCGGUUGUGGUAGUGCCUUCUGGAGAGGAACAGAGAUACACAUGCCAUGUGCAGCACAAGGGGCUGCCCAAGCCCCUCAUCCUGAGAUGGGUCACACAUUUCUGGAAACUUCUCGAGGGUCCAAGACUAGGAGCUUCCUCUAGGACCUCAUGGCCCUGCUACCUUCCUGGCCUCUCACAGGACGUUUUCUUCCCGCAGAUAGAAAAGGAGGGAGCUACUCUCAGGCUGCAAGCAGCCAAAGUGCCCAGGGCUCUGAUGUGUCUCUCACGGCUUGUAAAGUGUGAGACAGCUGCCUUGUGUGGGACUGAGAGGCAAGAUUUGUUCAUGCCUUCCCUUUGUGACUUCAAGAACCCUGACUUCUCUUUCUGCAAAGGCAUCUGAAUGUGUCUGUGUCCCUAUAGGCAUAAUGUGAGGUGGUGGGGAGACCAGCCCACACCCGUGUCCACCAUGACCCUGUUCCCCACACUGACCUACAUUCCUUCCCCGAUCACCUUUCCUGUUCCAGAGAAGUGGUGCUGGGAUGUCUCCAUCUCUGUCUCAACUUCAUGGUGCACUGAGCUGUAACUUCUUACUUCCCUAUUAAAAUUAGAAUCUGAGUAUAAAUUUACUUUUUUCAAAUUAUUUCCAUGACGGGUUGAUGGGUUAAUUAAAGGAGAAGAUUCCUAAAAUUUGAGAGACAAAAUAAAUGGAAGACAUGAGAA
rnacentral:sRNA from 1 species